GAUGAACGCUAGCGGCAGGCUUAACACAUGCAAGUCGAGGGGUAUAGGUUUUCGGACCUAGAGACCGGCGCACGGGUGCGUAACGCGUAUGCAAUCUACCUUUCACAGAGGGAUAGCCCAGAGAAAUUUGGAUUAAUACCUCAUAGUAUUAUAGGAUGGCAUCAUUUUAUAAUUAAAGUUCCAACGGUGAAAGAUGAGCAUGCGUCCCAUUAGCUAGAUGGUAAGGUAACGGCUUACCAUGGCUACGAUGGGUAGGGGUCCUGAGAGGGAGAUCCCCCACACUGGUACUGAGACACGGACCAGACUCCUACGGGAGGCAGCAGUGAGGAAUAUUGGUCAAUGGACGCAAGUCUGAACCAGCCAUGCCGCGUGCAGGAUGACGGUCCUAUGGAUUGUAAACUGCUUUUGUACAGGAAGAAACACUCCUUCGUGAAGGAACUUGACGGUACUGUAAGAAUAAGGAUCGGCUAACUCCGUGCCAGCCGCCGCCGUAAGAC
rnacentral:rRNA from 1 species